GAAGUCUGCACUGCGAAAAAAAUAAGCCCCGUUUUGCAAAAAUGCCGCCGACCCACGGGCUUCCCUGAGUGAGAGGAAGCCGCUUUCCCAUCAAGUGAAAUGCUUGAUACAUUGGAAUGCCUGCCAGGAAUCCUGUGAUCGACAUCAAGGAGCAUGGAGGAUUAUAGCACCAACUUGGCACAGAUUUCCAUCACUUGCUGUUUUCUUUGCUCAUUUACCUAUGAGCUUUUGGAGAUCAAUAAAAGGAUCUGAUCACUCUCAAGCUGAAAGAACCCCUCCAUCCGGAUCCAAAGCAUUGUACAGGCUGCAAUCAAUCAUAGUGGUCCUUUUGGGAAUGGUGGCGACUUUCCCUGGACUGAUGAACCUUCCUAAUGAAGGGCUUUUGCCCGAAACGUCGAUUCUCUUGCUCCUCGGAUGUUGCCUGAUCUGCUGUGCUUUUCCAACGCCACACUCUCGACUGAUGAACAUUCAAGCUGACAUUCAUGGGGAGCAAGUCCAGAGAUGUAGGAAGUUGAGCUAAAAUAUGUUUUUUUUGUGAGUUUGCUUUGUAUGAUAAACAUUGAAUGGUGUUUGGAACUUGGACAAAUCAGCAGCAUAACUGGAAUAAAUACAAAGUUUAGACUUGCAAAUCUCUACAAUACAGAUCUGGAAAUUUAUUGUGUUUGGGUUUUUCUAACUAGUGGUGAGUAAAUUAUUGUUAAUCGACUGGUUUGAACAAGUUGUGACACACCUCUGUGGCUGGUGGGACUUGAUCCCAAGCAUUCCCAAGACCCUCCUCUGUAUCAUAUUUAAUUAUACCAGGCUGGGUUUUGUGCUUACUUUUGUAGAUUGAUGCCCCAGCAGAUGAACUAGAUAAAAGGAGAGUAAGGCUUCCACAGGCUUUGCUGGGUUGAAUUGGACUCCUUGUUCCAAGUUUGUUUUUGGAAAGGCAAGGACUGAUCAGGGAUUGUCAGCGUGGCUUCAUGCAUGGGAAAUCAUGUCACACUAACAUGAUUGAGCUUUUUGAAGAAGUGACAAAGAAGAUUGAUAAAGGCAGAGUAGUAAAUAUUGUCUAUAUUGAGUUCAGCAAAGCAUUCACCAAGGUUCUGCGUGGUAGACUGGUUAGUACGAUUAGAUCACAUGGGACCCAAAGGAAGCUAGCCAACUGAAUACAAAAUUGGCUUGAAGGUAGGAGACAGAGAGUGGUGAUGGAGAGUUGCUUCUCAGACUGGAGGCCUGUGACCAGUGGUGUGCUACAAGGAUGAGUGUAGGGUCCAAUGCUUUUUGUCAUUUAUAUAAGUGAUUUGGAUGUGAAUUAAAGAGGCAUGGUUAGUAAGUUUGCAGAUGACACCAAAAUAGGUGGUGCAGAGAACAGUGAAUAAGAUUAUCUCAGAGUACAAUGGGACCUUAAUCAGAUCGGCCAAUGCGCCAAGGAGUGGCAAUGGAGUUUAUUUUGAUAAAUAUAAGGCAUUGCAUUUUGGUAAGACAAACCAGGGCAGGACUUAAACAAUUAAUGAUAGGACCCCGGGGAGUGUUGUCAACAAAGAGACCUAGGGGUGCAAGUGCAUAGGUCCUUGAAAGUGGAGCCACAGGUUGACAGGGUAGUGAAGAAGGUAAAAAAUGAGGUCUGCAGAUGCUGGAGAUCACAGUUGAAAAUGUGUUGCUGGUUAAAGCACAGCAGGUUAGGCAGCAUCCAAGGAAUAGGAAAUUCGACGUUUCGGGCAUAAGUGAAGAAGGUGUUUGGCACUCUUACCUUCAUUGGUCAUAGCACUGAGUAUAUGAGCUGAGAAAUCAUGAUGUGGUCGUACUGGACAUUGAUGAGGCCACUUUUGGAAUACUGUGUAUAAUUGUGGUCACCCAUGUAUAGGAAGGAAGCUGUAAAACAUGAGAGGGUUCAGAAAAGAUUCACAUGGAUGUUUCUGGGACUGGAGGGCUUGAGUUACAGAAAGAGGCUGCUAUGAUUGGGGCCUUUUUCCCUGGAGUGUCGGAAGCUGAAGGGUGACCUUAUAAAGGUUUAUAAAAUCAUGAGGGGCAUGUAUAGGGUGAAGAGCCAAGGUCUUUUUCCUCAUGUGGGGGAGUCUGAAACAAGAGGGCAUAGGUUUAAGAUGAGAGGGGAAAAGUUUCAAGUGGACCCGGGGGAUAACUUCUUCAUGCAAAGGGUUGUGCAUGUAUGGAGCGAGGUGCCAAAGGACAUUUUGGUGGCUGGUACAUUUACAACAUUUAUAAGACACCUGGAUGGGCACCUGAAUAGGAACAGUUCAGAGGGAGAUGGACCAAAUGCUGGCAAAUGGGACUUUGUGAGAAUGGGAUGUCUGACCAGCAUGGAUGAGUUGGGCCGAAGGAUCUGUUUCCAUGCUGUAUGUCUAUGAUUCUAUAAUGUUCUCAUCUGUUGCGUGAAAUAAUGUAAUGCAUAUGGGAUAAGGUGGAUUUGCAUGUGGCAGACAACUGGACCACAGUUAGGUGAGAGGGGAAAAUUUUCAAGUGCACCCAAAGGGUAACUUCCUCAUGCAGAGGGUGGUAUGUAUAUGCAAUAAGCUGCCAAAUGACCACAAUUAGACCAGUUCAAAUGGCACCGUAAACAAUACAAGCAGAAGUAACUGUUUAUAAAUGACUUAUGAGCGAAAAGAUUGUGCUUGAUCCUCUUCAACGCCAUUGUAAGUUAAUGUCACAGAGAAUGAAUGGAAAACUUCCAGCACGUAUAAUGGGCAAGGCCGUGCAAUAAAUUCCAAGGUAUAAAUCAAUUUAUAAAG